UGGGGAAUAUUGGACAAUGGGCGCAAGCCUGAUCCAGCCAUGCCGCGUGAGUGAUGAAGGCCUUAGGGUUGUAAAGCUCUUUCGGCGGGGACGAUAAUGACGGUACCCGCAGAAGAAGCCCCGGCUAACUUCGUGCCAGCAGCCGCGGUAAUACGAAGGGGGCUAGCGUUGCUCGGAAUCACUGGGCGUAAAGGGCGCGUAGGCGGACAUUUAAGUCGGGGGUGAAAGCCCAGGGCUCAACCCUGGAAUUGCCUCCGAUACUGGGUGUCUCGAGACCGGAAGAGGUGAGUGGAACUGCGAGUGUAGAGGUGAAAUUCGUAGAUAUUCGCAAGAACACCAGUGGCGAAGGCGGCUCACUGGUCCGGUUCUGACGCUGAGGCGCGAAAGCGUGGUAGCAAACAGGGAUUAGAUACCCUGGUAGUCCACGCCGUAAACGAUGGAUGCUAGCCGUUGGCAGGCUUGCCUGUCAGUGGCGCAGCUAACGCUUUAAGCAUCCCGCCUGGGG
rnacentral:rRNA from 1 species